UACGUAGGGUGCGAGCGUUGUCCGGAAUUAUUGGGCGUAAAGAGCUCGUAGGCGGUUUGUCGCGUCUGCUGUGAAAACUGGAGGCUCAACCUCCAGCCUGCAGUGGGUACGGGCAGACUAGAGUGUGGUAGGGGAGACUGGAAUUCCUGGUGUAGCGGUGAAAUGCGCAGAUAUCAGGAGGAACACCGAUGGCGAAGGCAGGUCUCUGGGCCACUACUGACGCUGAGAAGCGAAAGCGUGGGGAGCGAACAGG
rnacentral:rRNA from 1 species